rnacentral:rRNA from 1 species
GACGAACGCUGGCGGCGUGCUUAACACAUGCAAGUCGAACGGAAAGGCCCUGCUUUUGUGGGGUGCUCGAGUGGCGAACGGGUGAGUAACACGUGAGUAACCUGCCCUUGACUUCGGGAUAACUUCAGGAAACUGGGGCUAAUACCGGAUAGGAGCUCCUGCUGCAUGGUGGGGGUUGGAAAGUUUCGGCGGUUGGGGAUGGACUUGCGGCUUAUCAGCUUGUUGGUGGGGUAGUGGCUUACCAAGGCUUUGACGGGUAGCCGGCCUGAGAGGGUGACCGGCCACAUUGGGACUGAGAUACGGCCCAGACUCCUACGGGAGGCAGCAGUGGGGAAUAUUGCACAAUGGGCGGAAGCCUGAUGCAGCAACGCCGCGUGCGGGAUGACGGCCUUCGGGUUGUAAACCGCUUUCGCCUGUGACGAAGCGUGAGUGACGGUAAUGGGUAAAGAAGCACCGGCUAACUACGUGCCAGCAGCCGCGGUGAUACGUAGGGUGCGAGCGUUGUCCGGAUUUAUUGGGCGUAAAGGGCUCGUAGGUGGUUGAUCGCGUCGGAAGUGUAAUCUUGGGGCUUAACCCUGAGCGUGCUUUCGAUACGGGUUGACUUGAGGAAGGUAGGGGAGAAUGGAAUUCCUGGUGGAGCGGUGGAAUGCGCAGAUAUCAGGAGGAACACCAGUGGCGAAGGCGGUUCUCUGGGCCUUUCCUGACGCUGAGGAGCGAAAGCGUGGGGAGCGAACAGGCUUAGAUACCCUGGUAGUCCACGCUGUAAACGGUGGGUACUAGGUGUGGGGUCCAUUCCACGGGUUCCGUGCCGUAGCUAACGCUUUAAGUACCCCGCCUGGGGAGUACGGCCGCAAGGCUAAAACUCAAAGGAAUUGACGGGGCCCCGCACAAGCGGCGGAGCAUGCGGAUUAAUUCGAUGCAACGCGUAGAACCUUACCUGGGUUUGACAUGGAUCGGGAGUGCUCAGAGAUGGGUGUGCCUCUUUCGGGGUCGGUUCACAGGUGGUGCAUGGCUGUCGUCAGCUCGUGUCGUGAGAUGUUGGGUUAAGUCCCGCAACGAGCGCAACCCUUGUUCACUGUUGCCAGCACGUUAUGGUGGGGACUCAGUGGAGACCGCCGGGGCCAACUCGGAGGAAGGUGGGGAUGACGUCAAGUCAUCAUGCCCCUUAUGUCCAGGGCUUCACGCAUGCUACAAUGGCUGGUACAGAGAGUGGCGAGCCUGUGAGGGUGAGCGAAUCUCGGAAAGCCGGUCUCAGUUCGGAUUGGGGUCUGCAACUCGACCUCAUGAAGUCGGAGUCGCUAGUAAUCGCAGAUCAGCAACGCUGCGGUGAAUACGUUCCCGGGGCU